CAGCACAAACCCUCGCCCUCAGUCAGCCAAGGCUCAGCGGAGGUGAGGGAGGGAAGCAGUGAGAUAUUGACAGGAACCGACUCGGCUCCACUGAAGGUGUUGGAGGGGCGUGGCGAGAAGCCGGGGAGCGGAAAACCAAAUCCUCGUUAUCAAUAGCUAAGGGCCAGCGUAGAUGAAAGGACGUGACGUGACGUGAAGGCAGAAAGGAUGUGUGGCUGUGGCUGCAUUGAUUGGAGGUGACAAGCGGUUGGUGCGUACUGGUUCUUCCCAGUGGCUUCCCAGACUAACUCGGGUGUAGCUUGGUGACAGACGCAGUUCAAGAUUUCGGUAAAGACGUGCAGGAAAUCACAAGUUUGUUCAUGUUCCGGAUUUUUGUGUGGAACGGGGUGGAAGUGGCGCGUCUCAGGAAUAUAGUGAGAUGGAAGUGGUGGUCUCUGGAGCACGGCAGCUCGUCAGGAGGAUUGUUCCUGUUGUCUUGGGUGCGUUGUCUCGAUUGUUCUGUCAUCGUUCUGUCACCGUUCCGCUGAUCAUCCUCCUUGUCUGUAACCGGCGACCCUCUGUUCCCUGGCGCGGAUGGGUUGCUUCCUGAACGUGUAAAUUAUAAGACUCGUGGGCUGGCAGUGUUGCUGGUUAAUGAGCGAAUUUGUUCAUAAGAGUUCGAGAGACUCUCUCAAUUUUAGUUUUAUUUAUUUUUUUUUUUCUCUCUCUCUCUCUCUCUCCCCGUACGGUGACUUGCUGUUUCUCGGGAGACUUUUUGAGGUAUGAAUAAAAACAACUUUGCCUAGGUAUGAAUAAAAUAGAACUAUAGAGCAGAAUAAACAGCCAGCACACACACACAACCACCUACUCCGAAAACUUGGCCAGCACUGGGGUGACGCGGCUACCAAGGUUUCACUUACUGAGAUUCGGGACAGUUCGACACGCUUGCAGCUUCCCCACAGAUUCUUCACACAUUACAUUCAACCCUGCCGCUUCCGACAGAUAGCCCAGGCACACGUGUAUCUGCUUAUUUGCUCAGUUUAAUAAGUGACGAGUCUCAUAAUGCUUCAUUCCGUUACCUCUCACCACCAGUUUUCCGCUGUUGAACUCCUUAUUCUAAAUUAACUGAACAAAAUAACGCAUAUUAGGAUAAAGUAAACUAAAAACGAUCAAACCAGGAGUGUUAAUGGUUUAUACAGACUGUAAUGCUUGUAUUAAGUUAAGGACAAAAGUAUACAAUAUACGAAUGACCGACAAGUUUGAUAAAGUUAUGGUAUAGAGUACAUUAAAACAAAUAAAAAAUCAGUUUCAUGUAUACGGUAAUGUUGAUGUAGUUUGGGCAAAGACAAAAUGCACAAGAUAAAUGUUAGGCUGAUGAGUCUUAAGCCUUAAGGCAGUGCUUGGAGUAUUACAAACUGUGAUUAAUAAUAUUGUAAGUAAUAGAGAUAACAGUGGUACAGUAUGUUUAUGUCCAGAGAGAGAGAGAGAGAGA